CGUGCCUGACCCGAUGAGUAAAUUGUUAGUGAAGCAAUUCACAAAGCAGAAUAUAGCUUGAAGUUGUGUAUAAGAACAAAAUCAUUCUCCAGAAAAGAAUGUAAAACAGAUCUAACAGAUCUCCCCCAUUCAUAAUGAGGUCGUACGUGUUAUAGGAACGGAGAUAAUUGCUUGUUUAAACUCGAGUGACCUCGUGCCUGACCCGAUGAGUAAAUUGUUAGUGAAGCAAUUCACAAA